UUUUCUUUUUUUUUUUUUUCAACUCUUAACUUUAGUAUUUAAUCAUCUUCUCAACGUUCGCCGUUUUUCCUCCUCCCAACCCCCUUUUUUUUCUCCUCCCCAGCCCACGCUUCUUUUCUCCUUCUCUACCAUUCGUUUUCCUUAAUUUCCACAACCCUACAUCUUCUUUUUUUGUGUAGAGUUUUUUAGAUGCUUCAGGUUAUAGUGGUGGCAGAGGCGGUGAAUGUGAUGGCAGUAGAGACCAAAGCGGCGGCGACGGCUGCGGCUGCAAAAAAAUGCAUAGGCAAUGGCAGUGGAGAUCUAGGUGGCGGCGAAAGCAAUAGCAAGUCUCACUCUCUUAGAAACCAAUACCAAGUGAGAAUUUCUUUAUCUUUUUUUUUUCUCUCUCUUAUUUGCUAUUUGUUAUCUAUUUUUAACCUAUUUUACAGUAUUUUUUGAGAUUAUUUGAUAGUUUCUGUUUAAGAUAGGUUGGAUUGGAUUAAAAAUUUAAUAUUUUGAUGAUAUCUGUCUGUCGCAUCGCGUAGAUAACUACACUAGUGUUGCACUAUUUAAUAACAGAUUAUACUUUGAAAAAAGCAGUCUGAUACUCUCUUAUUGCAAAAU
rnacentral:lncRNA from 1 species